rnacentral:lncRNA from 1 species
AGCUGAUAUGAAUAAUGCCAUCCUAAUUCAGGGUUUCAACUUCUACUGCUAUUCAACCAAGUUAAACAAUAUUAAUGAUUGUCCAGUUCAGAUGCUCAAGAUGAAAUUUACAGGUAAUGCAAUAGCUUGACACAUUUUCCCAAUUACACCUACUUGAAACACAAACUAAGCUACAAUCCAUUAAACUACGCCAAAUAGACAAUCACCAGUUUAACAGGAGUCAAACUUGAAUCUAAAAUGAACACUGAUUUCACUCCAAUUUGUCAUUACAACAGGGAGAGUUCGAACAUGUACCUGGAAAUGAAGCAGAAUAAAAGGAAAAAGGAGUCAGCAGUGGCAAGCAAACAAUCAGCAGUUGAAACCAAUAGCACAGGAUCAAUUGGGACUUAAAAACAGCAUCACACAGCCCAGGGAUGAAUGACAGAGGAACAUCACCAAAAAUAAUCAAAACAGACUUGAUUGAACCCAAACUGACUCAAAAUUAAACCCAGGAAAACUUCUGCAACUUCAGCAACUAGAAACACAUCCUUAUCUGAGCUAGAAAUUUGAAUUAACACCUGAAACUCGAAACUAAUCUAAGGGGAAUUUCAAUGGAAUAGUAAUUUUUUGAGUUUGUUUUUUUAUUUUUGUGUUACUUUUGGGUUUUAAGAAGUUUUGAAUUUCAAUUCUUAGAUCUAACAAUGAAGGUUUUUGGAUGGGUGAUUUUUAUGGCUAAAAAUUCAAUCCCCUUCCUCAAGGCACUUUUUGCCCUUUUAUAGGUGAUACAAGAGGGUUAAUCAGAUUUUGGGUUUUCUUUUUAGUUCCACCCUUAUUUUCAGUUUAGUCCCUCAUUUCUUGACUUGUUUCCCAAGCUAGUAUCCUAAGUUGGCUGAAAUCUACACUAAAGUCCUAUUCUAGAAGGCCCUAGGAUGCUCUUCUACCCCUAAAAUACCUAUACUACCCUUACCCCUACUUUGAAAUUACUAUUCCCAAAGAAACUGCCCCCUUCCAUGUCUAAACUACCCCUGAAAGCUUCUCAAAGUUACUGAUUCUACCUAUGUUCUCAACAACUAUAACCAAUCCCCUGAAUUAAUUCAAAACUAACUAGGACUAAUUAAUUAGAAUUCAGAAAUUACCCAAUUGAACUAACCAAUCCCAAUUAUUCAAUCACCCAAACCCAAACAACUUAAAAAAACCAAGAGAAUAGGAUCAAUCAACAUUAAUGGACAAACUGGUACUGAAUCCAAACUAAUUAAUCAUGCCGAUUUUGCAAUUAAAAUGAUGAUUAACUAAUAAAUGACACAUGCAUCAAACUAAACUAAAAAUGCGAAGAUGCUUUACUGAUCAAGGAGCAAGGAACAAAGAAGAUUUAAACUAUACUAAUACACAAAAUAAAUCGUAAAAUUAACAGAAUACUUUAAUGAAAUCAAAACUAUAACUAACACUUCAACUAUGCAAGUAAAAAGAAACAAGAAAGCUCACUGAAGUACGAGAAACUCCGGCCGGUUGCUAUCAUCCGAAUCUUUCCAGAUUUUUGACACAUAACAUCCCUAACCAUGUAUUUUUUACAAAAGAAUACAUGGUUAAGGAUAUUAUGGUUUAAAAUCACAAAGAUUUUGGGUUAGGGCUUUGGCCAGAAAUUCUUAGAUCUGAAAUUCGAGCCGCUUCGCCGGGAUUCGAAGGAAGAUGGUCAUGGAUUUGGGUUGAGGGAAGUCUGGGG